AAAUGAGAGUGAGAAUGAGAUGAAAGGGAGGAUGGGAGGGAGGAGUAACAAAAGUGAAAACAAAAACUUGAAAAUGAAAACAAUUUCAAAUAGAUUUCAGUUUUUAGUUCUUGUUUUCACAUUUAUAACUCCUCGCUCCCAUCCUCCCCUCUCAUCUUCACUCUCAUUCU
rnacentral:miRNA from 1 species